UACGUAGGGUGCAAGCGUUGUCCGGAAUUAUUGGGCGUAAAGAGCUCGUAGGCGGCUUGUCGCGUCGGCUGUGAAAACCCGGGGCUCAACCCCGGGCCUGCAGUCGAUACGGGCAGGCUAGAGUCCGGUAGGGGAGACUGGAAUUCCUGGUGUAGCGGUGAAAUGCGCAGAUAUCAGGAGGAACACCGGUGGCGAAGGCGGGUCUCUGGGCCGGAAAUGACGUUAAGGAGCGAAAGCGUGGGGAGCGAACAGG
rnacentral:rRNA from 1 species